GACGAACGCUGGCGGCGUGCUUAACACAUGCAAGUCGAACGGAAAGGCCCUGCUUGCAGGGUGCUCGAGUGGCGAACGGGUGAGUAACACGUGGGUGAUCUGCCCCUUACUUUGGGAUAAGCCUGGGAAACUGGGUCUAAUACUGGAUAGGACCAUGCUGUAGGUGGUGUGGUGGAAAGAUUAGUUUCGGUAAGGGAUGAGCUCGCGGCCUAUCAGCUUGUUGGUGGGGUAAUGGCCUACCAAGGCGUCGACGGGUAGCCGGCCUGAGUGGGUGGACGGCAACAUUGGGACUGAGAUACGGCCCAGCCUCCUACGGGAGGCAGCAGUGGGGAAUAUUGUACAAUGGGCGCAAGCCUGAUGCAGCGACGCCGCGUGGGGGAUGACGGCCUUCGGGUUGUAAACUCCUUUCAGCCAUGACGAAGCCCUUGUGGUGACGGUAGUGGUAGAAGAAGCACCGGCUAACUACGUG
rnacentral:rRNA from 1 species